rnacentral:snoRNA from 1 species
AUAUUAAACUGUGGACGAAUUCCCAAAUAAGCCACAGUUAUGCAAGAAACGCUAGAAAAAAUAGGUAGUAUUUAAUAACGUGCUGACUAACAUCUGCGGAUAAGAGCUUUGCGUUUUGAGGUACUAACCACAAUA